GAACGUGAGGGUCAGGUGGCCACAGCAUCAGUCUCUCUCUUGAUCACCAACGUUGAUUCAUCUGAUCUGGCUGGUGUUGCCUUCCUCUGUCACUACUCCAUGUGUGUCCCUCCCUACGCUGAAAGUUCCAUUGAAAAGGAACAUAUG
rnacentral:snRNA from 1 species